rnacentral:lncRNA from 1 species
CAAAGGUUUAUCUAACAAAAUGAAAAACCCUGUCCAUGAAAUUGAUUAAAUUUAACCUUUCCCAGCUGUAAAAGAAAAGAAAUGUUAAAUGCUGAAAUUGUUUAAAUUGUACAUGUUAUAAUCACAAUAUGAUAUACAGUAUUAUUAAUCAAGUAAAAUACUGCAAGUAAUAACCCUGUUUGUUCAUGACAAAUGAACAUGUGAAAUAUCUGUUACAAUAACACACCCAUGCUUUUUCCCUAUUGGGUUUUUUAAUGCAGGGUGCAUGUUUUUCUAUGAUUUGUCAUAUUUUUGUCUUCUCUUUUAAUAAAGACCAUGGAAUUACAUAGAAAUGUUUCUGUUUUGUUGAAAAAUUGAAAGGUCCUUAUUUAGUUCCUCUUCAAAGGUACGAGUUUGUUACAAAUAUCUUGACCCUA